rnacentral:rRNA from 1 species
GCCAGACUCCUCGGGAGGCAGCAGUGAGGAAUAUUGGUCAAUGGGCGCGAGCCUGAACCAGCCAAGUCGCGUGAGGGAUGACGGCCCUACGGGUUGUAAACCUCUUUUGUCGGGGAGCAAAUUCCGUUACGUGUAACGGAGUCGAGAGUACCCGAAGAAAAAGCAUCGGCUAACUCCGUGCCAGCAGCCGCGGUAAUACGGAGGGUGCAAGCGUUGUCCGGAAUCAUUGGGCGUAAAGAGUUCGUAGGCGGUAUGUUAAGUCUGGUGUUAAAUGCAGAAGCUCAACUUCUGUUCGGCACUGGAUACUGGCAAACUAGAAUGCGGUAGAGGUAAAGGGAAUUCCUGGUGUAGCGGUGAAAUGCUUAGAUAUCAGGAGGAACAUCGGUGGCGUAAGCGCUUUACUGGGCCGUAAUUGACGCUGAGGAACGAAAGCCAGGGUAGCAAAUGGGAUUAGAUACCCUAGUA